rnacentral:rRNA from 1 species
AUUGAACGCUGGCGGCAUGCCUUACACAUGCAAGUCGAACGGCAGCACGGGUGCUUGCACCUGGUGGCGAGUGGCGAACGGGUGAGUAAUACAUCGGAACAUGUCCUGUAGUGGGGGAUAGCCCGGCGAAAGCCGGAUUAAUACCGCAUACGAUCUACGGAUGAAAGCGGGGGACCUUCGGGCCUCGCGCUAUAGGGUUGGCCGAUAGCUGAUUAGCUAGUUGGUGGGGUAAAGGCCUACCAAGGCGACGAUCAGUAGCUGGUCUGAGAGGACGACCAGCCACACUGGGACUGAGACACGGCCCAGACUCCUACGGGAGGCAGCAGUGGGGAAUUUUGGACAGUGGGCGAAAGCCUGAUCCAGCAAUGCCGCGUGUGUGAAGAAGGCCUUCGGGUUGUAAAGCACUUUUGUCCGGAAAGAAAUCCUUGGCUCUAAUACAGUCGGGGGAUGACGGUACCGGAAGAAUAAGCACCGGCUAACUACGUG